CCUACGGGAGGCUGCAGUGGGGAAUAUUGGACAAUGGGGGCAACCCUGAUCCAGCCAUGCCGCGUGUGUGAAGAAGGCCCUCGGGUUGUAAAGCACUUUCAGUGGGGAAGAACGCCUGGUGGUUAAUACCCAUCAGGAAAGACAUCACUCACAGAAGAAGCACCGGCUAACUCCGUGCCAGCAGCCGCGGUAAUACGGAGGGUGCGAGCGUUAAUCGGAAUUACUGGGCGUAAAGCGCGCGUAGGUGGCUUGAUAAGCCGGUUGUGAAAGCCCCGGGCUCAACCUGGGAACGGCAUCCGGAACUGUCAAGCUAGAGUGCAGGAGAGGAAGGUAGAAUUCCCGGUGUAGCGGUGAAAUGCGUAGAGAUCGGGAGGAAUACCAGUGGCGAAGGCGGCCUUCUGGACUGACACUGACACUGAGGUGCGAAAGCGUGGGUAGCAAACAGGAUUAGAUACCCGGGUAGUC
rnacentral:rRNA from 1 species